CUCUGGGCCGCCCUUCUCAGCUCACCGGCCUCCUGGCAGUGGGAAAGAAGCAGAGACAUGGCUGGGCCCCUGGCAGGGACCCCACGGGCCAGGCCAGCGUUCUCCUUCACACAGGCCUUGCCUGUGUUUAGACCUGAUUUCUAUCUCCUGCUGAAAAUAGUUCUGUUUAAGAAUGUAUGGAAGGCCGGGCGCGGUGGUUCACACCUGUAAUCCCAUCACUUUGGGAGGCCGAGGUGAGUGGAUCCCUGAGGUCAGGAGUUUGAGACCAUCCUGGCCAACAUGGUGAAACCCCGUCUCUACCAAAAAAUGCAAUAAUUAGCCGGAUGUGGUGCCACUGGCCUGUAAUCCCAGCUACUCGGGAGGCUGAAGCAGGAGAAUCGUUUGAACCCAGGAGGCGGAGGCUGCCGUGAGCUGAGAUCAUGCCACUGCCCUCCAGCCUGGGUGACAGAGUGAGACCCUGUCUCAAAACAAACAUGCAAUUCUAUAGGCCAAGGUAUUCACAGACCACGCUCAUCAAUGCAUGUUUUCAACCAAUGUGUACUGUACGUGAGGUGAGAGUUCACCUAACUGCAAACUGGAAUGUUUGUGGGAA
rnacentral:sRNA from 1 species